CCCUUAGAUGUUCUGGGCUGCACGCGUGCUACAAUGAAGCGUCCAACAAGAUGCGAAGCCGAAAGGCUCAGCGGAUCUUUGAAGUCGUUUCGUGACCGGGACAGUUGAUUGCAAUUAUUCGACUCGAACGAGGAAUUCCUUGUAAUCGCGAUUCAUCAUAUCGCGCUGAAUACGUCCCUGCCCUUUGUACACACCGCCCGUCGCUCCUACCGAUUGAGCGAUCCGGUGAAUUAUUUGGAGUGUCCACGCAAGCCAAUCCGUUUACGUGGGUGCGAAAUUUUGUAAACCUUAUCGCUUAGAGGAAGGAAAAGUCGUAACA
rnacentral:rRNA from 1 species